GCAGGUGACUGGAGUUCAUCCUGAUAUCAUUCAUGUACAUGAGUGGCAGACAGGUGCUUUGCCCCUGCUUUACUGGGAUAUGUAUCACCUUCUUUCGCUCAAGAAACCAAGAAUAGUGUUGACAAUCCACAACAUGGAGCAUUAUGGGGAAUGCAGUACAGUCUCUCCAACGUAUCUUAAAGAGACACUUUGCUCUGGAUGGCUUGCAAGCACAUUAAUAAGAAAUCGCGACAAGUGAGUUUUUCA